GCCUAAAAUUUAGCUUAACUCCAACCUAUGCCCCACCACAACUUAAUACUUUAUGAUAAAACAUUUUCUUAGUUUAGUAAAGGCGAUCAAAAAACUUAUCAACGCUUCAUCACAAGUACCGCAAGGGAAAAAUGAAAUAGAUCUGAAAUAGACCUAAAGCAUAAUAUAGCAGAGUUUACUUCUCGUACCUUUUGCAUCAUGGCUUAGCCAGUUCUCAUCAAGCAACAAGAAAUCAUAGUUUGACUCCCCGAAACUAGACGAGCUACUUCAAAACAGCUUUAUGAGCCAACCCAUCUCUGUUGCAAAAGAGUGGGAUGAUUUUGAAGUAGAGGUGAAAAGCCUACCGAGCCUAGAGAUAGCUGGUUACUUAAAAAAAGAAUCUUAGUUCCGCCUCAAGUCCCAUUAUUACAACCAUAAAUACCCCGGCCUUGAGAGUUAUUCAAAUAAGGUACAGCUUAUUUGACAAAGGAUACAGCCUACAAAAAAGGGUAAAAAUUAACAUACAGAUCAAGUGGGCCUAAAAGCAGCCACCUAAAAAAGCGUUAAAGCUUCCUCUCCCUUUACAACCUAAUUUAUUCAUACACCUUAAACCCUUCACUACUAUUAAGUAAUUUUAUACCAGUAUAAAAGUCUUCAUGCUAAAACUAGUAACAAGAAAUUGAAUUUCUCCUAAAUAUAAGCAUAAACCAAAAUGGACCUACCACUGGUAAUUAACGUUCCUUAGCCUAUUAUAGUAACCUCCCCAAGAAAACACUAUAACUAUCCCGCGUUAACCUAACACAAGUAUAUUUCAGGAAAGAUUAAAAGAAAGGGAAGGAACUCGGCAAACCUCAACCCCGCCUGUUUACCAAAAACAUCGCCUCUUGAUCAAAUAUAAGAGGUCCAGCCUGCCCAGUGACCACUUAAACGGCCGCGGUAUCCUAACCGUGCAAAGGUAGCAUAAUCAUUUGUUCUCUAAAUAAGGACUCGUAUCAACGGCAUCACGAGGGUUGUACUGUCUCCCCCCUCUAAUCAGUGAAACUGACCUCCCCGUGAAGAGGCGGGGAUUUUUAUACAAGACGAGAAGACCCCAUGGAGCUUUAAACCCAAUAAUAUUCUCUCACUACACACUCCAUUUAAGUUAUAAAGUUUUUAUCUAUUGGUUUUAGGUUGGGGUGACCACGGAGUAAAACACAGCCUCCUUGACGAACGGUCUUAUCCUAAUCCAAGAGCUACUGCUCUAAGAAUCAAAAAUUUGACGUAAUAUGAUCCGGCAACCGAUCAACGAACCAAGUUACCCUGGGGAUAACAGCGCAAUCCAUUUCAAGAGCCCUUAUCGACAAAUGGGUUUACGACCUCGAUGUUGGAUCAGGGUGUCCCAGUGGUGCA
rnacentral:rRNA from 1 species